UGCUGGCGGCGCUGGCGGGCGCCGGCGGCCCGCAGUCGUUCGAGCUGCCCGGGGCCCCCAUCGACAACAUCGAGGUGAGCGGCGGCGGCGUGCUGGUGGCCGGCGGCAGCUGCCUGUACGAGCUGCUGCCCGAGCUGCGGCCGCGCCGCCGGGUGCCGCCGCUGGCCGAGGGCUCGGGCUGCGGGGAGCCCCCCGGGGUGCGCAGCAAGCUGCUGCUGCCCUACGAGGAGCCCGGCGGCGGGGUGCUGCUGGCCGGCUGGACGCGGGCGUCGGGCAGCUGCGAGGUGUGGGAGCGGCCGGCCUACCGCCAGCGCUUCAACCGCACCGAGGUGGUGAGCUGCCUGCCCGGCGGCUCCACGGCCGGCGUGGUGUUCCAGCAGGCCGGCGCCUGGUACCUGGCGGUGGCCGCCACCUACUCGGCCGGGCGCCGAGAGGCCAGGGAGGGCUGCGAGCCCUCCGAGUCCGACCAGACCACCGCCAUCACCGUGCGCCCCACGGACUCGCUGCUGCCCAGCGAGGAGCUGGGCAUCAUCAAGUACCACGUGGAGCCGCUGCACUUCGUCGACGCGCUGUGGUGGGGCGGCCACCUCUUCUUCCCCUACUACCGCUGGAAGGCCAAGUCGGGCACGGACCCCGAGCCGCCCAGCAUGGCCGUGCUGCACCAGCUGCAGCCCUCGGAGCGCGGCUUCUCCCUGCGAGGCCAGGUGUACCUGGACUGCGGCUGCAGGAGCCUGAUCGUGUCCUCCAGCCUCGUCCGCCAGGGCGCCAAGGGCUGGUGGGUGGGCGUCUUCAACCACAGCCACAGCACCAAGACCUGGAACGCCACCGCCGUCUGCAUCUUCGGGAUGGAGGAGAUGAGGGAGCAAGCCUGCGCCUCCACGCACUUCGCCGUCAACGAGAACCACUGCGUAAGUCUGCCCGGGGUUUUGCUAAGCUUUCGCCCUGCAUGCCGGUCUUGUCGCUGGUGCUGCUGUGCAUGACUCAAGGGCUGUCCCCGGUGAGGGGACCCAAAGGCGAGCGAAGUUCAGGGGAACUUCAGAGCCGUGCUCG
rnacentral:lncRNA from 1 species